rnacentral:misc_RNA from 1 species
AAGUCGUAACAAGGUUUCCGUAGGUGAACCUGCGGAAGGAUCAUUAACACGUAUCCAACGUUAAACCCCCCUGUGAAUUUUAUCGCAGCUCUUGCAGAUGCCGGUAAGUUUGCAAUCCCUGGUAAAUCAUUGUUGAACAGAUUUUGAUUCAGGGACCUCUAACACCGACAGCUGCAAUUCGAGCGCUUGUGCAAGUGGCCUGGUUUCCCCAAGCUGCCAGUGUCUGAAAGUGUCGCUGGUUCCGGUGACCGGGCUGCUGUGGCUAUAUGCCCCCUAUAUUUACCCCACUACCUGAACUUGGGUCGCAGGAAACUGCUUCCCCUUAAAUCUGAACAACUGUUAACAAUGGAUAUCUUGGUUCUC